AUUGAACGCUGGCGGCAGGCCUAACACAUGCAAGUCGAACGAGUGGCGGACGGGUGAGUAAUGUCUGGGAAACUGCCCGAUGGAGGGGGACAACUACUGGAAACGGUAGCUAAUACCGCAUACCAUCGGAUGUGCCCAGAUGGGAUUGGCUAGGAGGUGGGGUAAAGGCUCACCUAGUCGACGAGCCCUAGCUGGUCUGAGAGGAUGCACGUCCACCCUGGAACUGAGACACGGUCCAGACGCCUACGGGAGGCAGCAGUGGGGAAUAUUGCACAAUGGGCGCAAGCCUGAUGCAGCCAUGCCGCGUGUAUGAAGAAGGCCUUGGGGUUGUAAAGUACUUUCAGCGGGGAGGCGUUACCCGCAGAAGAAGCACCGGCUAACUCCGUGCCAGCAGCCGCGGUAAUUC
rnacentral:rRNA from 1 species